GACAGGUGGUGCAUGGUUGUCGUCAGCUCGUGUCGUGAGAUGUUGGGUUAAGUCCCGCAACGAGCGCAACCCUUAAGCUUAGUUGCCAUCAUUAAGUUGGGCACUCUAAGUUGACUGCCGGUGACAAACCGGAGGAAGGUGGGGAUGACGUCAAAUCAUCAUGCCCCUUAUGAUUUGGGCUACACACGUGCUACAAUGGACAAUACAAAGGGCAGC
rnacentral:rRNA from 2 species